rnacentral:sRNA from 1 species
UUUUUGGUUUUGCUGUAAAUAAAUUUUGUUUGGCCCCAAAGUUUUUGAUAAAUCACUGCAACGGAAAGUUUGUCCCAAACUGCAGCGGGAAAAUUGUGCCCUCAAGGGCCACGCCCCACUGGCCACGGGGGAACCCCACAGCCCUAAAAUCCGAAAUAAAAAAAGUUUAUUUCGAACUGCAUUCGUCCAAGGCAAGUUUGAAAGCUGCUAAAUUGCACAGUGGUUGGAAGUUAUCGGAAACUACGAACUUGAAAGCAACUACUACAUGUAUUUUCGCUCUCUUGCUAAUUAAUUUUUUAUGGAUUUAUAAUUAAUCUGGAGAUAUUGAAAAUUUAAUAAUUAUAGCACCGUUUUCUAAUACAAUUUGUCACACUGCAACUUAAACUGAAAUCUGGCAUAUAACAAACUAGCAACAACUUUAGGGACUCCCCACCCACCCACACACACACAGAGUAUCCUAGAGGGGGGAUUCACACAGACAAUGGCUGAGCGCACGUAGCAAAUGCAAACUGACUCCCCCGCUCCAACCCCUCCCCCCUUUUUAGCUGUAACCACCAACUCCCCAGCCCACAAGGCCACCCGUCGAACUAACACUCAACUAAGCAGAUUUGUGAUGGCGCGUCGCAUGAAUAAUUUGCCAAAUUAAUAAAUAAUCACGGAUUUUCUGGUUUGUUAGCUUUCCUUUUUUUUUUUUUGUUUCGUAAAUCCGGUAGUAGUCCCACGGCCACGCCCCCCAUCGCACUGGCGCCCUAAUUCAAAUGCUAAGCGCCAUGAAUUUUGCUCCCCAAUGAGCACAAAUUGGUUUCGCUCGCAUCUCAUCUUUUGUUUUUUGCCAUUUUUUGUGUGACGGCCAUGGCCAUGCGAAAUAUUGUGAAUGUCGAAUAUUGACUACCUCCGCGCUGUCCGUUGCCAUGGAAUAUUAAGUGGCUCGAUGGGAUGGGAAACAUUUUGAUCAGCCACGCAUAAAGUUCUGCCACAUCUAAUGGAUUGUCUGAUAUUUCCAUUUGCCCCCUCGUGCCGCUGGGGAAAAAGCACUGGAUGAAGCAUUUCACUUCUAUGCCACUUGGUAAUCGAAUUGAAUUUACAUGCGAGAUUUUUUUUUUUGGUUCGGUUUUGGUUUGCUGCGCUGCGCUGCAAACAAUUGCAAAUUAAAUAUAAAUUUGGGUUUCCCGUGGGGCAACGUGGUAACGUAGAAAUGUUCUCUUGGUCAGAAUCCAUUUUGGUUGAGUUCAGUUCAUUAUUGAAAUUGUCGAUUUUUUUAAAUAUAUAAUUUAUUUAUUCCAUUAAUAUUGCUGUACUGGAUAAUUAAGAUUUUCAACAAUCGUUUGAAUAUUAUUUAAGGUGUAUAUAUUUUGUUAACUAUUGAAGAGAACUACAUAUUUGUGUUUUAAAAACUUCAUAUCGAUGUAUGAACAACCUCAAUAAUUUACCAAAGUACACAUUUUCUACAGAAAAUAAAAUGGCAAAUGCUCACCACACCACUUGAUUCGGAUUAAUUUCGGGCCAUUUUGCUGGCAUUUCAGCACUCUCAGUGCUUCAUUUCGAUGACUGCAAUUAAAAUGGCAAUUAAGAAAAUUCUACUUCCGCAACAGAAGCUUUCCACUCCCACACACACACACACACACACACACACACAUAGAGAGAAUCACUCAAAUUACCCAUACGCAUUGUAGGACACUCACAAACACUCUACCAUAUUAACGGAAAUUAAUUUCAGUGUUUCAUCCGCUCGCAUUUUCUUCUUUUUAUUUUCUUUUUCUGCCGUACUUUUACUCAUGUGCUCGUUUUCCUUUGCCGCCUUUCUUUACUUUUUGUUUCUAUAACAAUGCUCUUCGCCGAGCAUAGUUUUUUUCCUUUGUUUUUGUAUAAUUCCCGCUCUCCGUUUGCAGCUGAUGUUCAUUUCCCUGUGAAUGCACAGCGUGCGGAUGAAUGGGAAUGGAAAUGGGGGAGUGGAAAUGGAAAUAUGGAAAACUCUGGGCCAAAGUCAAAGUGAAAGGAGAUGAGGAACAGCAGGCAUUCAAUGAGUUUUUGCUCCUUUUCCUGCAUUCAAGGCAUCAUCAUAUGCCUGAAUGACUGACUGACUGAGUAAAUGAAUGAAUGAUGGAAUGAAUGCGUGAUUGAGGGCCUCUAAAUGGAAGCGUACCAGUUCUCUCUGAUUGACGGGCCAAAGGAAAUGCUUAAAAAUGCAUAUGAUAAUUUGUAAUUGUUUUUAAUUUUCCCCAUCCUUGGACUCCUCGAAAUUGUUUCCACGAAAAAUCCAUUGUAUAAUUAUCGAGUUUAUUGCUGUUAUGGCUUCGUGCCCAUAAACUCCACAUUUACCCCCUAUUGUUUUUGAUUCCUCAACGAGCCUCAUUCAAUUAUUCAUUUAAUUCUUUGGAAGCGGCCAUUACACGACUGAAACUUCAACUUCAGUGCAAUCAACUCGACAGUUCGUCAAUCGUUCUAAAGUAAACCAAAGCAAGUUAGGGGGUUUAUAUGCCAUUAUUUGUAAGAAAUUUGCCGUUACGCUAAGGAAUUAUCGUUAUUUGAUUUUUAAAGAAUUUAAAGGCAUUGUUAGUCUGUUUUCAAGUUAUUGGUUUUCAGUUUCAAAGAGCCAUAUUAAAAAAGGCUUUUAAGGGCCAUCGUUUGAUUCCACAUGACAACCGCACUUUCGGAAACCUGUCAAAGGCUAAACAAUACACCAUCAUUAUGGGGUUCCCCCGUUUUCAAGCCGAAUUCCACCCCAGUUUCACCAAAUUCUCCCCCGCGCCUUUUCACAACGAGCAAUGUUCAUGUCUGAAAAUGCAAAUUGCAGACAAUCAAUGACCACAGGCAACAAAGGGCCAGCCAGCCAGCGAAGUUUUCACUGCUGCAGUUUAAAAAUCCCCCUCGGAAAAGCUUAAAAACUGCACAACGAAGAGGAAAAACUUUUGCAAUAACUCUUUGGGUGGAGGGAAAAUUGUUGCUCGCUGGUCUGAAAAUCUGCGAGCAGCCAUAAAAUAUUGUUGUUACACGGGGUUUUCCCCGCUUUCCACCCCGGGUAUAAAAACAAAAUUAACGCAAUGCAUCGAUGUCCGAGAAAGUCCGGCGGGUGGGAAGGGUCAGGAAAGGGCGUGAAAACCGCGUAAUAAUAAAAUAUGAUACGAAAACCUUGUAAAGCGACUUUCAGACAAUUUAUAACGGUCAGCUGCAGUCGAAGGAGGAAGAAAAGCUGGGGUUUUGGACCCCUGUUCCGUUUGGAUUUCCAUUAAAGUGUAGGGAGUUGGCAAAAAUAAAGGGGGAAAACCAACACAAAGUAAUAGUCUGAUAUUGGAUUUGCCAAAGCCAAUAGCAUAACAUGUUCGGAAUAAUUGAAGGAAACUUUGUGUUAAGGAUACUUUCAAACUGGCACAUAGAAUGGAUUAUAACAUUUGGAAAUGGGAUUAAGUUAGUAAAAUAAUAAUUUGUCUUUGAUAUGCAAAUGUAUCAAGAUAUAACUACUAGUCUUAUUUCUUUAAGAAGGCAUAUUUCUUCAAACUCAAAUGAAUUUUAUACUGUCUAAAAACUAUCACAUUCGCUAAUUGAUAAAAUGUGUGCGCAAGUGCUUGUCACAUUUAAUUACACACAUUUAAUUGCACGUAACUCGGUCAUUAAUUAAAUUGCAUCUUAAUUGAAAUAUCCAUACCAUUAAAAAUUUAAAUAAUUAAUUUCGAUAUAAAAAUACGUACAUUUAUCGGUUCGUACGCCUUCCAACCGCAAAAGAAUCGCCCGCCACUCGAAUGCAUUGCAAUCAAAUUUAUUGCUACCGAAAUACAAGAAAAAAAAAAAGUUGUUCCGUGCGAACAAUUGAAGAGGAAAAGGCAAGGGAAUCCUGCGGAUGCAGUGCAGCAACAGGAAGAGCAAAGUGGAUAAUAUUACACACCCAAACUGGACGAGUACGGUAUUGGUUGGUUGGCGUGGGUGGAAAGCGACUAAGCAUUUUUGGGGUCACCGGAAAAACGCCCCCACUGCAUCCGCAUCUGUGGCUUCCAUUUCAAUUUUUUCCCUCUUUUUUUUCCAGCCGCUUUUUCUUUUUUAUUGAAAUAUUACCUUCGAGUCGGCUGCACUUUGAACUUCCCACCCACGCAGAAGACUGCUGCAAAAUGUCAAGUGUCAGCGCGAAUGUUGGCCAGUUUUUGUGGGCCGCCGCCAAAUGUCAGGAUGCGUGGCACGUGCGGCAAUUGCCGCAGUUGCUCCACCCAGCAGCAACAUCACCACCAGCGGCUGGAACUGAAAAAGCAGCAGUGGCUUGUCACUUGCAGUUAAGUUCCAUAAUUUGCCAGACCAAGCCAACAACUCGGAGCCCAAUGCCCCAUUGCAUUAGCCACAGGCAGCUGUUGUGGCAGCUGCUGCCAUUCCAGGGAGACCGCAGCUUUAAGGAUGCACAGAACACUUGGUUCUAUGCUAUUGCAACGAGCUCGCAACAGUUUCAUUUUAAAUGCCCAUUAAAAUAAAUGGUAAUUUGUGAGUGGCUGAUAUCAGUAUCUAAUUAUCAAGCACGUUUAAUUAUAUCUAACUGCUUCAAAAGUUACUCGCUCAGGUGUCUAAAAGUACGCAAUGAAAAGUUAUGACGUUUUGGUAUUUCUAUUUAGCACUCUGUUUGUGAUUUUAAUUGCUUAAGGGGCAUUUAAUUUAAGUGACAUGAAUUAACUAUAAAUAUCUUUAGUGGAAAGAUAGGUUUUAUUUCCAUCUCUCCCACGCUUGCCUCGCUUCCUUUUAGUUUGUUUUGCUGGGUGGGAUCGAAGCCUCAUGUUUUUGGUCACUUGGUUAAGGCCUGUCCAGGCGGAGACGGUUGUUGUGGCCUUCGUCCCCCUUGUUUUUGGCCAGCCAGCCAGGCAGGCAACCAGCCGGCCAUCGGGGCGUAUGCGUGAUCUGGGCGGUAUCCUUUGUCCUGUUCUCGCCGUAGUUUCGUUGCCUGUUUAUUUGCAUUGUUCGCAGGACACUGUCGCUGUGUCCUUGUGCUGGUAAUGUUGGCGUGUGGCACUUGUGCACUUUGUCACUUUUGUUUUAACGCUUACGCUUUAUUGAGUUAAUCGCUUUAUGUCCGGCAUUUCUCUCCGCUGUUUGCCUUUCUGCACUUUUGCCAGCUCAGCACUUUUAAUUAAUCCAGCAGCCCGAGAUAGUUUCUCCUGCUUUUCCCGCUUUUUCCCGCUUUUCCAACUUUUCCUGCUUUUCCCUACCUGCAUUGCUAUUACAGCUGCUUCCCUCGCUGGUUUAAUCGCUACGCCUUUUCGUUAUUUGUCCCCUUUUUGGUAAAUAAAGUUUAAUGUGUUUUCAUUGAUUACAUCAGUGCGUAUGUACGCCUCCAUUUUCCUCUCUCUCUGUGGUCAUUAUAUAAAUAUACGCGUGUACCCCAAUAAAGCUCUCUUUUUUCCCCUUUGGCCAGCUGGAAUUUUGAUUGAGCAUGUUUGUUGAUUUAUGUGCGCCAGUUGUGGAAUUUAUAUGCGGUCAUUGUGAAGUCCGGUAGAAAAAA